rnacentral:lncRNA from 1 species
UUGUACACGAGCACGUACUAGUUCCAAGUCCAAAAGAUAGUAUACAUGUAUGCUUCAAGAUCGGAGCAGAUAUAAAAGUUCGGCGAGGGAGUGGAAUAGCAGUUUGAAUCAGACGCUAUUCAAACUGCUGCUUUUGGGCAGCAGGAAUCAGACGACAGUGGUGGCCCAGAUCACGGUUCUCUAGAAAAUCUUGCGACCGAGCUGUCGUAGCGAUGGGUGGGGAAGAUGAUGUAGACGAAAUAAAGAAAAAGAAUUGUAAUGUUUGGGCGAUCAUGAAUUGCCCAACGAGACACGCCACUGUGCCCUCAUCGUUAUCGUGCUACCACCAAUGAAGGCGCGGACGCACUGCGUGUAGCACCGUACUCGAAGAUCUGCUGCCGCCUUCACCGCACCAUCCCGGUUCCAUCGCACAGUUUCCACCUCCACGUGUCCGCACGAGGUCAGACGGACGUUCCAAGUUCCCGCUUUGGGUCCCAGAGAACAGUGGCUUAUCGAUGACUUUGUUGCGGAUCACGCUGUAUAGGUGGCGUCAGCCUUGUCGUCAUACCAGGACGCCAACGGUCAAUUUUGCCCUCCACCGUGCGACCUUCCGUCCUGACUUCCGCAAACGGUCCAUGUCACCAGUGUGAACCCAAACCUGAUCAAACUCAAAUGCUUCAAUUUGCAGAUUCGAGAAACAGCAGCACCACAAAUUUUACGGGACUCAACUAAGUUAUUUAACGAUCCGCUUGACGAUUUAAACAAAAUCAAAUUAAGUAUUAUAACAUAUAAUGAAUGGCUAAUUAAGUCACCAACUCGAACCUCUGAAUCAUAAGAAACAUAAAUGCAUAAUUAUUUAUCAAAAUAAUAAGAUUAUCUUUAACAGAUUCUUAUAUUUUUAAAAUUUAUAUUAAAAUCUAUAUACUUUUUUAAAAUAAAACAUUUAACUUUGAUCGUCUUUUACUAGUGAACACAUUCUAUCAUAUUUUAAUUUAACUCUAAACACUAUAAUAUUUUUACCAGUAAAAUCAACGAUAAAAAAAUAAAACUAAAUAUUUUUUAAUAUAAAAAUGUUAAUGUAUUUUUUUAAAUAUAAAAAACAUAAUACUAAUAAUAAUUAAUUAAGUAAUUCAGAUAAUAGACUACGGAGUUCCGCCGUGGGAACUCCGCUUCUUCUUUCACCUCCACGUGCUCCUCUGUCGGCACACAUCCAAAGACAGGUGACCUAACGUGGCGAAUUGGUCAUUCGACCGUGGAAGUUUAUUUGUCAUUUUACGCUACUCAGUCAACGACACGUGUCUCAAUAUCUUGUCGCCUUUUCGUCCUCCCUAUAUACCGUCAAAUUUUUGUAUGCCUAUUAAACUUAUACCCAAAACGAUACCGGCCUUGCAAAUGGUGAAAACUGUGGUCCUCGGUCACUUUGUCACGUCCCAGAACGUCGAACCCGCGGGCGUUUCGUUUGUCUUCGCUUCUUAAAUCAACUAAACCACGAAUCCAAACGAACCGAGAUAACUCGACCGUAGAAGGCCGCGAUGGUCAGGGAAGCGGAGGGGAAGGGAGGGUAUUGGGCGCGGUAGGCGGCGAGGCGGUGCAAUUCGUGCAAGGCGGCGGUGGCGCACUUGGACUGCCGGCCUGACGCGGCCUACCUGUGCAGUGGCUGCGACAUGAGGGUGCACGGGGCAGAGCAACUCGCCUCGCGGCACAAGCACGUGUGGAUUUGCGAGGCCUGCAAACAGGCGCCCGCCGCCGUAAUCUGCAAGGCGGACGCCGCGGCCCUCUGCGACGCCUGCGACGCCGACAUCCACUCCGCCAACCCCCUCGCGUGCCGCCACAAGCGAGCACCCAUCGCCGCCCCAAUCAAGCCCUCCACUGCCUCCGCCGCGUUCGCCUUUGGCGCAGGGGCUGGCGACGGCGUCGACGAGAAGGAGGAGAACGAUGCGGAGGAGGCUACCGCCGCCUCCUGGAUCCUCCCGAACUCCGGCCACGCUCAGUUCAAGGGCUUGAUUGAAGCGCCGCUGCUAAAAUCGAUGGAGUACUACUCGAGCGUGGGUUCUUACCUUGAUUUGGAGUACGCCCUUUCGAUGGAGACGCAAUUCCACCAGAUGAACAGCGUCGUCCCCGUCCGUGCCAAAACCGCCAUCGUGGACAGCGGAGCCCCGCCUAUCUCGUCGUUCCUCCCGCCCGAUGCCGGCGCCGAGCUCGAUUUCGUCCCAACAAAGCCCUGCCACACCAUCCACUCCAUGAGCCAAAGCGUAAACACUAAUGAAACCCUCAGAUCUAAAAACCAUUUCUCACUAAUCUACGAUGUAUUGCCUGAUUAUUCGCGACCGCCUCUGGAUCGGAGCAGAUGCCGCCGUCGGAGGUGGGAGUAGUACCUGACGAGAGCGGCGG